CUAGAGAGCAUCCGACAUCCGAGAAGAUGUGUGUGUCGCACGACGCAAAUAUGCUCAAAAAGAAGCAUCCCCAAAUAUAUAUACAUGUCGGUAAGGUAGGUACCAUAGUGCAAAGUGAGUAAUUAAGUAUAUGUUUUCCUGUGCACAUUUCAUGAUAAGAAAGUUACAUGUCCGCCGACCACGUCCGCGGCUCAUAUACAAGCUUCUUGUCUGGGCAAGGACGGCGAAAGGAGAACUGGCCGGGGUUCCUACAGUCGUGUGCAGCGUUGGGUGGCCAUCUAAGGCUAGGACUGCAACCUACUUGCAGCUUGACAACCCUUCUCUUCUCCAAACGCUGUCGGAUGGCGAAAAUGUCCUUUCAUGUGGACCAUUAGGAGGCCGCGACGAGACCUCGCCACUGCAUCCAGUGCCCUGUUUCCUGCCAAAGUUGAAAGGGAAAUGCCUCAACUGCCUCUCAUCAUCGAACAGGGUGGCAACAUGCAGGCUGCCACAGUGCUACCUGCAUUGCAAGGGCUUCCGCCAUAGUGCCCAUGACUGCAAGAUGUGGGCGAUAGGUUUGGCAAGGACCGUCGUUCUUACUAACUUGGAUGCCCUACCUCGACGCUCUGCCUAGGGUCACCUUAACCCCUUAGCAUUCAAGGCGACAUGUUGGGCUUAGUUGGAGCUGCGCCAAGUGCGGCUAGGUACGGCGGUGGAAGGCGUCGAUGUCGGAGACGCUAGAGAUGUCGACAAUGGUCGAGGAGGAUGGCACCGCUACGACAUUGACCUCCACUGCCACCACCAACAUUGCUGCCCAGGAAGGUCACGGUGAGCCAACCAGCAAGACACGCCAUAUAUGGGGCCUCUCCGAGCUCAAUCCAUCGUUCCUCUCACCAUACCCGGAUGCCAUGCAUGCCACACGCAAAGUCUUGGAGGACCUGAUGCUGGAGGAGGUGCAGCCACCGGUACGUGCACGGCACCUGUGCCACUUCUAUGAUGGCCUCCCACCCUACUCAAUUGGCAGCAGACUAAAUUCCACUGCCACUUGAGCACGGUCGGUCUCAGGUCACACCGUCUCAGGCCGCACAGACCACCUCAAGAGUUGACAUGCCUAUGUAGGACGAGGUGGGUGGUCCGCCUCGCUUGGAUCCAAUCGAGCUUGCGGUGGUUGCAAACAUGUUCAGUAUACCGCUUCGGGAGGACCGCACGAUCGAUGUCAACGACAGCUCUGCCACACGCCGCCUUAAGAGCUUCACUAGGCGCGUGCUGAAGAAGGUCGACUCUCCGCUUAUUCGUUAGCCUCUCAAGUAGCCUCCUGCUAAGCCGGUGUUGCCGUUGCGGAGCAGACGGUUGGCGGUUUAGAGCAUCUGCCAAGUAUUUGCUUUCAUACGAGGUGAGGUUCUGAUCAUGUAGGGUAUGUGAUAUACCUAAGGUCCAUCAACGCCAUCCAUGUCGGAGCUAGAAGCCUUUGACAAGAUCUUCGACGGCAACCUGAUUGCAUCCAACGUCGAAGCACUGGACGCGCUCUUCCUAGACGGUGAAAAGAGCUCGUCUAGGAAACCGUGGAGACGCAGGGCCCUUCCUAGGUUGCAACUAUACGUCGUUUUGGUUGUUUUCCAUUUAUAUAAUAUUGACACUAGAGGUCUUUUUGUUAGGAUAGUGUAGCUACGACUAUUUUAGGUCGACUUUCUUCAGCGCUCGAUAGAGACACGUUGUCUGUAUAUUUAAAUUCUUCUUCUUAAUACAAUGAUACAAAAUUCGAGAAAAAAACAAAGCUAGCUGUAGCGGACAAGUGCAGCUUGUUGGCUAAUCAGUGAUAAGAAAUGUUGUAAUGGAUAAGCGUCGUGUGUUGGAUAUAAUUAGUCUACAUUACUCUAAAAUGUAGCAAGUCACAUGAAAAAACAAAAUCUUAAAUCCAUACUAUGCCAUAUCCCAUAUCAUCAUGUAUAGCAUGUAUGAGAUUUCUGGGGUUAGCUUUCCGUCCAUUUGCUGGACAGAUUACUUGCACGCAUUUUCAUUAUCACAAUAAAAGUGAAGAUUGCGUACUCUUUUUGUGUGUGUUUCUUGGAGUUCCUCCACAUGAACCUCAAAGUUAUGAUCUAGGUAGAACAGAAAGUGCAAUACAUGUUUGGUAAGGCAUGGUAUCUAGUGCAAAGUCAGUAUAACAUGUUAUCCAAUCCAAGGAUAUAAAGUUAGAACACACGGACAUGCAUGGCCAGCAGUUUGAUCCACUGUGCACGCUUGGCUUAUUAGUAACAGACGUGUUAUUGAAGAGUUAAAAUGAAACAAAAUAUAUACAUAGCGUCACGAUAAAACCCAUAACAACUUUGUAGCACAGCUAACUUUGUUUUCAGUUAGCCUUUUCCGUUCCCUUCCAAACAAAUUUACUUGUCCUAUUUGCCAUGGUCACAUUGAACACAGCAGGCUACUUGGUUCACAAUGAGUGCAAGGGCAAUGCACUACUACUUUUGCCUCUCCAGAAAUUUCUGCAGACACAGCCCAACACUAGAUAAAUAGGGGGGAAGAACACCCUUCAAGCCCCAACUCACCCAAGCAACAUAACUCAAUCAUGGGUGCAUAGAAAUAUGCCAACCCAUAUCUAUGGGGUCCUUCCCUUGAACUGCUUCUCCAUCCUCUCCAAAGCCAACCUGAUCUAGCGCUUGUUUUCCAUUCCUUGAAAUCACUGAUAGUUACUUGUUGGACAUGGAUCAUGUCUUCUCAAUGGAGGAGAUCCUCGGACCCUUUUGGGACCUGCCACUGCCACCAACACCACCAGAGCAGCAGCCUCUGGUGGUGACCGGCACCGACAGUGUCAUCGUAGAUGGUGUUGUUACUCAUGUUGGUGAUGGAGAGGGUGAGCAGCAGCCUCUGGUGACUGGCACAGACAGUGUCGUCAUAGAUGGUGUUGUUACUCAUGGUGGUGAUGGGGAGGGUGGUGACAUGCUGGAUCAGAUUCAGAACACCACAGAGUGGACCUUUGAGAGAUUAUUGGAAGAGGAGCUUCUAACUAACACAACAACUGUGGCAAACUCUAGUUGCCCAGCCCUAAAUGUUGAUCCACUGGUGGAGGUGGACCACGGAACGAUGGCGCCUGCAGAGGUGAGCGCCGUAGGUGACCCCAUGGAGUACAAUGCCAUACUGAAGAGAAAGCUGGAUGAGGACCUCAUGGCCUUCAAAAUGUGGAGGGUACUGCUCUUCCCUGCCUUUCUCUAAUGUUUCUUGAACUGUACUCUAUGGGUUGUAGGUUUAGCUGGGCGUAAAAUACUUGAAAUCGAUUGGUUAGUGCUUUUUCAGAAAUAAUACUAAGCUUAUAUAACACAUCUAGUGCAUCCAAACACCUUAAAAGUGCUGUGGAUAGGUAAUCCAUGAUAUAGAGAUAUGAUGUUACAAUUUGUUGAGAUCUAUGCUCUAUUUGGAUCUCUCUAGUAGUUUUUAAGAAUAUGGCUUUUUAGAAACGGGGUGACAUUGAAACAUGCUAGUUUUUGCUGUUUUGUGCCAAAAUUUUAAAACCAGGAAGCUAUUGAUAUCUAGCUUUUUUCAGUCUCGUACCCAUAGAGCAAUAAACGAAGUAAGAUUUUUUUAAACUAGGAUAUUCAAACACUCUCAUCAGUUUUUGCUCAGAAUCUAUAUUUUAGAAACUAAAGACAAAAACAGUUUUUAAAGAAUCUAAAACUGAACUACUCCCUCCUCCUGCAAAAAACGCAAUUCAGCUUUGAACUUUUUUUUUGAGCAACAAUUCUAGCUUUGAACCUGGACAGGUAGGAACUAGAUAGAUCCAAAGAGACUACUAUUUGGAGUCAGUUUGUGCCAGAUUCUUAAAACCAGGAAGCCAUUAAUACCUAGCUUUUGCCAGUUUUUCAUACCCAUGGAGCAAUAAAUGAAGUCGGAUUUUUUAAAACUAGGACAUCCAAACACCCCAACUAGUUUUUUUAGAAUCUAUUUUAGAAACUAAAGACAAAAACUGUUUUUUAAGAAUCUAAAACUAAUCUACUCCAUCUGUCCUAAAAAAAUGUAAUUCUAGCUUUGAACCUGGUCAGGUAAAAGCUGGGUGGGAUCCAAACAGGCUAAUUUUUGUUGUCAAUUUGUGCCAGAUUCUUAAAAUCAAGAAGCUAUUGAUACACAACUUUGUCAGUUUCUCGGUACCCAUAGAGUAAUAAAUGAAGUCAGAUUUUUUAAAACUGGGACAUCCAAACACCCCACCAGUUUUUGCUCAGAAUCUAUAUUUUAGAAACUAAAGACAAAAAAUGUUUUUUAAGAAUCUAAAACUGAUCUACUCCCUCCACCCCACCCGAAAAAAAAACAGAAUUCUAGCUUUGAACCUGGACAUGUAAAACUGGGUGGGAUCUAAACAGGCUAGUUUUUGCUGUCAAUUUGUGUCAAAUUCGUAAAAGUAGGAAGCUAUUGAUAUCCAACUUUUGCUAGUUUCUCGUACUCACAGGGCAAUAAAUGAAGUCAGAUUUUUUAAAACUGGGACAUCCAAACACCCCCAAAAGUUUUUGUUUAGAAUCUAUAUUUUAGAAAGUAAAGGCAAAACUGUUUUUUAAGAAUCUAAAACUGACUUACACCCUCUAUGUCCAGGUUCAAAACUAGAAUUGUGUUUCUUUUGGGCUGGAGGGAGUACACAGGACCUAUGAUGAGCUUAUGCCAUGUUUGUCUAUGCAAACCGACAAACAAUAAUAUGCCACAUCACAGGUCACUGUUCUUGUUUUAUAUGGAGCUAGUGCCACGAGAUUUGUGAUAUUGGAUUGAGCUAUGGCAUGUGUGGGUAUACAAACAACUAAUAACAAUCCAUUAUAGGCAAUAUUUACAAAUGGGCUCUUUACAAACUUAAUGGUUCCAUAAUCUACCGUGCUUUUUGGACGUUCCCACUCAGCAAUUUUUGUUGAAUGUUUCUUUUUUCUAAUGUUUUAACUUCAAAUUUUGGAAUACCCAUCCACAGGCCUCUACUAGUGGUGUGAACUCUGAAGGCUCAAACAAUGAAAAUGGAGGAGGUACUAUCUACUAUGUGCCCUGUUACAUUGUACAGGAAUAUAUGACGGAAUAAUAAUAAUGUUAAAACGCAAAGCUAAUUAAUUAUUAUGUACAAGGCGUACUUUUUUCAUUCCUCUUUAACUCAUUUAGCAGGUAGCAAGAAUCUGGUGCAGAACAAGCUCAAUAGUGCAGAUCCAACCAAUAAUCAUGCACAAAAUGCAGAUCUUCGUGUGAGGUUUGCUACUAGCUCUUCCUCAAGGGAUCCUUCACCAUCAGAUGAGGAUAUGGAUGGUGAAGUAGAGAUUCUGGGAUUUAAGAUGCCUACUGAAGAAAGAGUGAGAAAAAGGUAACAUUAAUUUGCAAGACAUGGUUUUACCUUGCAUCAUCCUUUCAAUAUCAACAAAAGAUAUCUCCCAUGUGAGACUUCUGAACUUAUUUGUUGUUACUUAACUUUAGAAAGGAAUCUAAUAGAGAAUCAGCCAGGCGCUCAAGAUAUAGAAAAGCCGCUCACUUAAAGGACCUGGAGGACCAGGUGUGGUAUCGCAAAUUAUAUUGUUAUUAUAAUACAGUUUUCAUUUGCCUAAUGAAAAAGGAAUCAAGAGUUUGUGAGUAAUUAAUGAGUGUAAAAUGGUGUUUAAUUACAGGUAGAAAAAUUAAAAGCUGAGAAUUCUUGUUUGCUGAGGCGCCUUGCUGCUAUGAACCGAAAGUACAAUGAAGCUAAUGUUGACAACAGGGUACUGAAAGCAGACAUGGAGACCCUAAGAGCUAAGGUAUGAUAUGCUGUAGUAACCGUGUUUUUUUUUAUGCUUUAACACAUCAAAAAUCAUUGAAUCCUGAAGUGCCCUCUUGCAAAUAAUGCUCUCCAUGCAUAGUUUUCUUUUAAGGGACGACAAGAUUUUCCUGCAAAUUUUAUUAGAUGGAAGAAAAUAAAAAAAAUAUGUCUGUAGUUUUUUUUUGACAAGCACAGACGCAGACGCUUAAUAUGCAUGCAUAUUCACCCCUAUCAACAUAAAUACGCAAACACUACCCAUAUGAGCACCUCUAAAAGAUUAUGUCGGCAUAUCUUGAAAUUAACGAAGUCAGCACAAACGCGUCGCUCACAUGGUAUAAAAUCUGGUUGCAGGUGAAAAUGGGAGAGGACUCCCUAAAGCGCGUUAUAGAGAUGAGCUCACUGACCUCCAUACCCAUUCCAGAGCUUCCCAGCAGCUCUGAUGUUCCAGUGCCUAUCCACGAGGAGAUCGUCAACUAUUUCACUACCACCCCAGCAGACGAUGCUUUGGCUGACAACAGCUUCAUGCCCAUGCCAGAGCCAUUGGCAUUGCAACUCCAAGCUGAAGAGCCAACCAUCAAUGGAGCUCUAAAUGCCACAGAGAUGAACCAAAUCGCUACGCACUGCGCGGCAGGGAGCCAACCAUCAAUGGAGCUUAUCCAGGAGACAAUGGGAGCCAUGAUGCCGACCUCCCCCGGAUCAACUCUCCAGGAAUCUGAGCUGCUGGGUCCAAACGAGACCAUAAACAUGCAUACGUAUUAGGCAUUGCAAGUUUUGUAAUCUCGUUUGUAGUGAUCACCUGUGCUUGCACUGCGUGGGCGGACUUGUGGUUUCUUCUUUAUGUCGUGGAAUCCCUGGGAACAUUUGCAGCUGUCGCUGAAUAACUGAAUAAGGCUCAUUGUCUCCCUUGACAUUUCAAAUAAAUUGAGAACCAUGAGUGUUUUUUUUUUCCAGGUACCAAAAGAUUGGUAGAUAGGGAUUGGGAGUUGUUGGAGAUGUGUUUUUCAAUCUUGCCAAAAAUCAAAGGAUGGGGAGAGUGUUUUGGAAACUCUUGGACAUGCUCUGACUUUCCAUUCAGAACAACUCUUAGUGUCAACCACCUAGACUUACAGUGUUUGUGAUGGCCCCCGGAUAAUCUUUGUGACCAUUUGAUCAUGAAAUUUCUGCAUAUUAUACUGCCAGUUCCCAUCCAACCACACUUCAUGCAAUGCUCCUGCUCGUCUAUUUCUACUAGACCAUACUCAUAUCCGUGACAUACUUAGUACACUUAACAACUAAUCUAAAUGUGUUGCCGGGAUCAAUCAUGAUAGGCCUUGUUUAGUUCCUGAAGCGAAAAAUUUCACGACAUUGUAACAUUUUCGUUUGUUUGUGGUAAUUAUUGUCUAAUCAUGGACUGACUAGGUUCAAAAGAUUCGUCUCGUCAAUUCCAACCAAACUGUGCAAUUAGUUUUUAUUUUCGUCUAUAUUCAAUACUCCAUGCAUGCGUCUAAAGAUUCGAUGUGACAGAGAAUCUUGAAAAUUUUUGGGUUUUUGGGUGGAAGCAAACAAUGCCAUAGAAUGAAUCAAGAUAACAAAAUCAAGGAGUUAAACAAUACCCUACACGACACGUUUCCUAAACCAAGAAAACUACCAUUUUCGUAGUAGUUGGAGAUUCAACUUACCAAAUACGCCAACCACUCGAAUCUAUAUUGCUUCACCAACUACACAUAAGCUGCCUACAAAGCAAAGAAGAACAAAACCCGAAUCAAAUUGAAGAACCCUAACCUUAGUCCUCAUCCAACAAUAUAUUGUAAUGCAGACCACAAAAAAGGGUCAGAUGUAGCCACAUACCUUUUCUCCAUCACAAUAGUAGUCCUGCGAAACAACGCUACAAGGAGGGGGGCAGGGGCUUGUGGGCGAGGGCGCCAGGCGGGCAAGCCCUAGGUUGUGCGGAGCAGAAAAAGAAGGGGACA
rnacentral:lncRNA from 1 species